GACGAACGCUGGCGGCGUGCCUAAUACAUGCAAGUUGAGCGAUGAAGAUUGGUGCUUGCACCAAUUUGAAGAGCAGCGAACGGGUGAGUAACGCGUGGGGAAUCUGCCUUUGAGCGGGGGACAACAUUUGGAAACGAAUGCUAAUACCGCAUAAUAACUUUAAACAUAAGUUUUAAGUUUGAAAGAUGCAAUUGCAUCACUCAAAGAUGAUCCCGCGUUGUAUUAGCUAGUUGGUGAGGUAAAGGCUCACCAAGGCGAUGAUACAUAGCCGACCUGAGAGGGUGAUCGGCCACAUUGGGACUGAGACACGGCCCAAACUCCUACGGGAGGCAGCAGUAGGGAAUCUUCGGCAAUGGACGAAAGUCUGACCGAGCAACGCCGCGUGAGUGAAGAAGGUUUUCGGAUCGUAAAACUCUGUUGGUAGAGAGGAACGUUGGUGAGAGUGGAAAGCUCAUCAAGUGACGGUAACUACCCAGAAAGGGACGGCUAACUACGUG
rnacentral:rRNA from 1 species